rnacentral:rRNA from 1 species
ACCUACGAGUUGCCUUUGCCGGCAAGGUUAAGUGUGACGACACACGUAUCCGAAGCGAAAGCGAGUCUGAAGAGGGCGUAUAGUCGGCAGUGGCAGACGCGAAACCAAGUGAUCUACCCUUGGCCAGGUUGAAGGCUGGGUAACACCAGCUGGAGGACCGCACCAAUAAGCGUUGAAAAGCUUCUGGAUGAGCUGAGGGUAGGGGUGAAAGGCUAAUCAAACUUGGAGAUAGCUCGUACUCCCCGAAAUGCAUUUAGGUGCAGCCUUGCGGGUUACUGAUGUGAGGUAGAGCGACUGAUAAGAUGCGAGGGCUUCACCGCCUAUCAAGUCUUGACAAACUCCGAAUGCGCAUCAGUUCUACCGCAGGAGUGAGGGCAUGGGUGCUAAGGUCCGUGCCCGAGAGGAGAAGAAUCCGGACCACCUGCUAAGGUCCCGAAAUGACAGCUAAGUUAAACUAACGAAGUCUGACUGCUAAGACAGCUAGGAUGUUGGCUUGGAAGCAGCCAUUCAUUUAAAGAGUGCGUAACAGCUCACUAGUCGAGGAGUCGGGCGUGGAUAAUAAUCGGGUAUCAAGUUGUCUACCGAAGCAGUGGGAUCAUUGAUAUGAUCGGUAGGGGAGCAUUCCAGUCAGCGUCGAAGGCGUACCGUGAGGUAUUCUGGAGCGUCUGGAAAAGCAAAUGUAGGUAUAAGUAACGAUAAAGGGGGCGGGAAACCCCCUCGCCGAAAGACUAAGGUUUCCUGAUCAACGCUAAUCGGAUCAGGGUCAGUCGGGUCCUAAGGCUCAGCCGAACGGCGAUGCCGAUGGCAGAAACGGUUAAUAUUCCGUUACUACCUUCAGGAGUGACGUGGAGACGCAGUAGUGACAGUGCCGCCAUCUGACGGAAUAGAUGGUUGAAGGGUGUAGGAGUCGAUCAUGGCAGGCAAAUCCACCAUGAGAUCCGAACCUGACAGUAUGCCGCGUCCUUCGGGACAAGGCAAUAGUGCGCGUAAGCAUGCUGCCGAGAAAAUCCGCUAAACUUAAUCCUGCAGGUACCCGUACCGCAAACGGACACACGUAGUCGGGAUGAAUAUUCUAAGGCGCUUGAGUGAUUCACGGUUAAGGAACUAGGCAAACUGACCCUGUAACUUCGGGAUAAAGGGUCCCUACCCUUUUAUGGGAGGGCGCAGAGAAUCGGUCCAGGCAACUGUUUAACAAAAACACAGGGCUGUGCCAAAUCGAAAGAUCCAGUAUACAGCCUGACACCUGCCCGGUGCUGGAAGGUUAAGAGGAGAUGUCAUCGAUAAGAGAAGCGUUGAAUUGAAGCCCCAGUAAACGGCGGCCGUAACUAUAACGGUCCUAAGGUAGCGAAAUUCCUUGUCGGGUAAGUUCCGACCUGCACGAAUGGUGUAAUGAUCUGGACGCUGUCUCAACCGUGAGCUCAGUGAAAUUGUAGUAUCGGUGAAGAUGCCGAUUACCCGCGAUGGGACGAAAAGACCCCGUGAACCUUUACUAUAGCUUAUCAUUGAAUCUGGGCACGUGAUGUGUAGGAUAGGUCGGAGGCUUUGAAGCAGGUACGCCAGUAUUUGUGGAGCCGCUGUUGAAAUACGACCCUUUAUUUGUUUGGAUUCUAACCCGUGGAACGGGGACAUUGAUUGGUGGGUAGUUUGACUGGGGUGGUCGCCUCCAAAAGCGUAACGGAGGCUUCUAAAGGUGCCCUCCGGCCGAUUGGUAACCGGCCUUAGAGUGUAAUGGCAUAAGGGCGCUUGACUGGGAGACUGACAAGUCGAUCAGGUAGGAAACUAGAGCAUAGUGAUCCGGUGUUUCCGUAUGGAAGGGACAUCGCUCAAAGGAUAAAAGGUACUCCGGGGAUAACAGGCUGAUCCCUCCCAAGAGCUCAUAUCGACGGAGUGGUUUGGCACCUCGAUGUCGGCUCGUCACAUCCUGGGGCUGGAGAAGGUCCCAAGGGUUGGGCUGUUCGCCCAUUAAAGU